rnacentral:rRNA from 1 species
CGGGGUACACGAGCGGCGAACGGGUGAGUAACACGUGGGUGAUCUGCCCUGCACUUCGGGAUAAGCCUGGGAAACUGGGUCUAAUACCGGAUAUGACCUUCGGCUGCAUGGCUGAGGGUGGAAAGGUUUACUGGUGCAGGAUGGGCCCGCGGCCUAUCAGCUUGUUGGUGGGGUAAUGGCCUACCAAGGCGACGACGGGUAGCCGACCUGAGAGGGUGACCGGCCACACUGGGACUGAGACACGGCCCAGACUCCUACGGGAGGCAGCAGUGGGGAAUAUUGCACAAUGGGCGAAAGCCUGAUGCAGCGACGCCGCGUGAGGGAUGACGGCCUUCGGGUUGUAAACCUCUUUCAGCAGGGACGAAGCGAAAGUGACGGUACCUGCAGAAGAAGCACCGGCCAACUACGUGCCAGCAGCCGCGGUAAUACGUAGGGUGCAAGCGUUGUCCGGAAUUACUGGGCGUAAAGAGCUCGUAGGCGGUUUGUCGCGUCGUCUGUGAAAACUCGAGGCUCAACCUCGAGCUUGCAGGCGAUACGGGCAGACUUGAGUACUGCAGGGGAGACUGGAAUUCCUGGUGUAGCGGUGAAAUGCGCAGAUAUCAGGAGGAACACCGGUGGCGAAGGCGGGUCUCUGGGCAGUAACUGACGCUGAGGAGCGAAAGCGUGGGUAGCGAACAGGAUUAGAUACCCUGGUAGUCCACGCCGUAAACGGUGGGCGCUAGGUGU